rnacentral:lncRNA from 1 species
UGGCGAUGGUCCAAACAGGGUCCAAAUCGUAGGGGCGUGCCAAAAAAUUGAUAGGGUCGGCGUUGGUGCUAAUCCAAACGGCCCCUAAGCCUCAUGUGGAUAGAAAAGGAUGACAGGCUUGCUACCGAGAAUAUACUGAUUACAGAAAAAGGAUGUCAGGCUUGCUUCUAGUUCUUGAGUUUUUGGUCAGAUAUCACCUCAUCAACCAAGAUUCUUAAAUGCAGCCUCAAUAACCUCAUUUCAGUUCCUGCUUUGUCAACUAUUUCAUCAAUGCAGGCUCAAUAACUGUCCAGAUCUAAACCCGUUAUCAAAAUACUCAGGAUAUUAGCUACCGAUGAGCAUUCACAAGCGAGAUAUCUAAAACAUUUAAUAAAUCUCACGAGGUGAACACUUACUUGGAAAUACUUUGGAAGAGUGUUGUAUUUACAGACCUCUUGAAAUGCCAGUAGGGUCAUUACAUGCCGCAGAUGUAGAACAUAUGCCGGGCAUAUUGUGCUUAAGCCACCAAAGACUUAAAGUCUCGGGAAUAAGUAGGUGGUCGCGUCCAACAUUGUGAUUGAUCAUUAAAAUAGUAUUCCAACUAAAAAUAUUCAAUUCUUAGGUGGUCGUGUCCAACAUUGUGAUCUCCUUUUAUUCAUUUUGAUGACAAGUAUUUUCGGACGGAGGGCAUUUCAUCAAACACCUGAAAGGUAUAGUUUAAUUAGUAUCAGUACGUAGUGAUUCUUGCUACCAUGAAUUUAGAUAUAUAUAUAUAUAUAUAUAUAUAUAUAUAUAUAUAUAUAUAUAUAGAGAGAGAGAGAGAGAGAGAGAGAGGGAGGGAUCAUAGUAUGCAUCGUCCUUCACUUAUCUAGUGCGAGGAACUACAGAUAGAAAGGAGAAAUAUGCUUGGCACUGAUGGAUAUAGAAUGCAGUGCAUCAUAACCAAAUAUGGACAAAGCGGCAAUGGCUGUAAAAGCAAUCACGUGAUGAAAAUUUGCAAAUGGGAACAUGGAACAAAAACAGCAAAAGUUUCCAUGGAAAUAAUGUACAGUAGUAAAGGAACCCUGAAAAUGGCUGUAAAAGCAAUCACGUGACCGAUUAGAUACUCCCUGUCGUAAAGGACCCUAACAUAUAAAGUUGUACUAUUUCAUCAGAUACCUUAUUAGCGCAAUAGUACGUCUUUCCAUAUGCCUAGACCCUGCGACCGAUAACAUACUCCCUGUCGUUGCAGAAGAAUGGAAACUGCACAGGCAAGGCAAGCAGUGACGGCAAAACUUAUAUAGUUUGUAAUGCUUUCCAGAAAUAUUGCCAGGGAUAUCACGCAGAUAGUGGCAAUGCAGUACUGCAGCGGGCAUUCUAGAAUGAAACAAAGCGACCAAUUUUUUUAAUCCUAAGCUAUAGUAUAGUAUCUUGUAUGUCUAAACACUGAAUUACUGAACCGAAUUUCAUUGCAAUCAGUAUCACAAAUCUACAUCUCUCAUCAACAAUCCAAAAACAGUACAAUAAUUGAUAUAAUUUUGAAAAGUUCAGACACCGUUGCUCUUGAAUUGUAAGGCUAUGUAUGAAUCAACUUUGAAAGACUACACACACAAAAUUCUUCAGUUAUGCAGUCGCUCAACUAAAAAACUAACUAAGAAGGCUUCAUGCAUACCUCUGGAUCUCUUCUCCAGGCCUGGUACCGCAUCGUCGGCAAUGUGUGUUCCAUCAUGUGUAGGCCGGGCCGCCGUCCUUCUCUUCGACGACCCUCCCUGCAUCA